rnacentral:rRNA from 1 species
AACGAACGCUGGCGGCAGGCUUAACACAUGCAAGUCGAGCGCCCCGCAAGGGGAGCGGCAGACGGGUGAGUAACGCGUGGGAAUCUACCCAUCUCUACGGAAUAACGCAUGGAAACGUGUGCUAAUACCGUAUACGUCCUUCGGGAGAAAGAUUUAUCGGAGAUGGAUGAGCCCGCGUUGGAUUAGCUAGUUGGUGGGGUAAAGGCCUACCAAGGCGAGGAUCCAUAGCUGGUCUGAGAGGAUGAUCAGCCACACUGGGACUGAGACACGGCCCAGAAUCCGACGGGAGGCAGCAGUGGGGAGUAUUGGAAAAUGGGCGCAAGCCUGAUCCAGCCAUGCCGCGUGAGUGAUGAAGGCCCUAGGGUUGUAAAGCUCUUUCACCGGUGAAGAUAAUGACGGUAACCGGAGAAGAAGCCCCGGCUAACUUCGUGCCAGCCGCCGCGGUAACAC